CAUGAUUUGGGUGGUCCAUCUGCCAGCUGUAGCAUGGCUUAAGCUGGGAGCCUGAGACCGUGAGUGAGAAGUCAUCUUUCAUCCUCAGCAGGGCAGAGUUGGGCCCAUGCUGAAGGCUUCUGACAAUGCUGCUCUGCAUUCGUGGAUCUGGUACCGUCACCUCCUGUGAACUCACUGUCUCACCACUUGAGAGACUGCAAGAUCUGGCAGCUCUGCUCACCUCCAGCGCUGAACCCAGCGAAGGAAAGGCCUCCUGUGCCCCAUAACGACGUGGACACUUUCCUGCCCUGAGAUGGUUCAGCCCUUCUGCCAAGAUGUGGGCCUUGCUUACAGAGAGACAGCAGCUUGGAGGAUGGAGGUAGUCGAAACGAGAUGCCUUUGAAUGUGAGCAGAAUAACCAGAAUACAGCAAUUCAUAUACAGAACAAGACUGAUUUUAUGGGCCCACAGCCCUGGAAGCUGGUUUCCACCAGGAGGGGCCACUGUGCCUUUCCCACUGUUGCCUGAGCUCUGGCACUGCUCCACAUCAUGCAGGAGAGGGACAGCUAAAGAAGGAUGGGCAGAGUGAAAUUCCACCCAAAGCAGUUUCAUUCAGCCGUCCCCACAUUCUCCUAAAACCUCCCCCUGCCUCCCUUCUGCUAAGCCCUGUUGGAGAACCAGAGCAGAGAUGACAGAAUCCCAGUGGAGCACUUACCAAUGAUUGGCACCAAGAGAACAUCUGGUGUGGGCAGUGGCUGGAGCUCAGCAUCCUAGCAAGGUGCUUUCUGGAAGGAAGGAACACCUGAGAUCUCUCAUCCCUGAGAAUAACUCCCUGUGCAUUAGCACCACCAAACUACUGAGGAAUUCCAGGCCACAUGUGACCUCUGGCUCUGCAAGGAUCAGCCUCGCUGGAGCUCCUCCGUGUGACAUGUGAAGCUCCUGUGUCGCAACAGCCCCGCUACCGGCUCCUGGGGCCUGGGCCGUGGCUGUGGGCGCUGCGGCGGAGCUGGAGCCAUGGCAGAGUCUGCAGGAGGACGGGUGGGUCACGUACCACAGCGAGCUGCAGUGGAGCCAGGUGCCACAUGGGAGAAGGUCAAUAAAGCAGAAAACCCUGGAAGUCAAACAACUCUUCAGGGGUCAUUUGCUCAGAACGAGAACCCAGCUAUUCAGGACCAGUAGAGCCAAGGUUAAAGUAUCUGCUGGUAAAUCACUUGGCAAGGAGUUGACCAGAAAACUGAAGUUAUUAGAGCAGCUGAAGGAACUCAGCAAGCUGUUACCUCCAGCCACUCCAAGCAUCCAAGGAUCUCACAGGAGGAAUGCAGAUGCUUAAUUCUUCACAGCUCUCAGAAGGAUGCUGAAUGAACAGCAUAAUCCUCAGCCAGGACCAUAAGCCUAGACUUCAUGCCCUGCAAGUCAGCACAUCUCAAACCCCACCAAGGACACCAGGCAGUGGUUCCCUCAUGGACAACACAGCAGAUGCCAAGUGGCCACACAGAACAAAGGGGUAAGUUCCUUCUGUACUUACAUCAUUCCGUAUCACCUCCCUAGAGUC